rnacentral:rRNA from 1 species
AACGAACGCUGGCGGCAGGCCUAACACAUGCAAGUCGAACGCAUCGCAAGAUGAGUGGCGCACGGGUGAGUAACACGUGGGAAUGUAUCCUUUGGUUCGGAAUAACGUCUGGAAACGGACGCUAAUACCGGAUGAGCCCUUAGGGGGAAAGAUUUAUCGCCGAAGGAGCAGCCCGCGUCUGACUAGGUAGUUGGUGGGGUAAAGGCCUACCAAGCCGACGAUCAGUAGCUGGUCUGAGAGGAUGAUCAGCCACACUGGGACUGAGACACGGCCCAGACUCCUACGGGAGGCAGCAGUGGGGAAUAUUGGACAAUGGGCGCAAGCCUGAUCCAGCCAUGCCGCGUGAGUGAUGAAGGCCUUCGGGUUGUAAAGCUCUUUCGCACACGACGAUGAUGACGGUAGUGUGAGAAGAAGCCCCGGCUAACUUCGUGCCAGCCGCCGCAGUAAAAC